UCAGACUCCUACGGGAGGCAGCAGUGGGGAAUAUUGCACAAUGGGGGAAACCCUGAUGCAGCAACGCCGCGUGAGUGAGGAAGUAUUUCGGUAUGUAAAGAUCUAUCAGCAGGGAAUAGAAAAGAAGGUACCUGAAAAAGAAGCCCCGGCUAACUACGUGCCAGCAGCCGCGGUAAUACGUAGGGGGCAAGCGUUAUCCGGAUUUACUGGGUGUAAAGGGGGCGCAGACGGCAGCGCAAGCCAGGAGUGAAAGCCCGGGGCCCAACCCCGGGACUGCUCUUGGAACUGCGCGGCUGGAGUGCAGGAGGGGCAGGCGGAAUUCCUGGUGUAGCGGUGAAAUGCGUAGAUAUUAGGAGGAACACCAGUGGCGAAGGCGGCCUGCUGGACGAUGACUGACGUUGAGGCUCGAAAGCGUGGGUAGCAAACAGGAUUAGAUACCCCAGUAAA
rnacentral:rRNA from 1 species